UCGAUUAGAUACCCCGGUAGUCCCAGCCGUAAACGAUGCUCGCUAGGUGUCAGGCAUGGCGCGACCGUGUCUGGUGCCGCAGGGAAGCCGUGAAGCGAGCCACCUGGGAAGUACGGCCGCAAGGCUGAAACUUAAAGGAAUUGGCGGGGGAGCACAACAACGGGUGGAGCCUGCGGUUUAAUUGGACUCAACGCCGGACAACUCACCGGGGACGACAGCAAAAUGUAGGCCAGGCUGAAGACCUUGCCUGAAUCGCUGAGAGGAGGA
rnacentral:rRNA from 1 species